UACAGAGGGUGCAAGCGUUAAUCGGAAUUACUGGGCGUAAAGCGAGCGUAGUCGGUUAUUUAAGUCGGAUGUGAAAUCCCCGGGCUCAACCUGGGAAUUGCAUUCGAUACUGGAUAGCUAGAGUUCGGCAGAGGGAAGCGGAAUUUCUGGUGUAGCGGUGAAGUGCGUAGAUAUCAGAAGGAACAUCAGUGGCGAAAGCGGCUUCCUGGACCAGAACUGACGAUCAGGCUCGAAAGCGUGGGGAGCAAACAGG
rnacentral:rRNA from 1 species